CUGCUCAGGACGAACGCUGGCGGCGUGCUUAACACAUGCAAGUCGAGCGGUAAGGCCUUUCGGGGUACACGAGCGGCGAACGGGUGAGUAACACGUGGGUGAUCUGCCCUGCACUUCGGGAUAAGCCUGGGAAACUGGGUCUAAUACCGGAUAUGACCUCCUAUCGCAUGGUGGGUGGUGGAAAGAUUUAUCGGUGCAGGAUGGGCCCGCGGCCUAUCAGCUUGUUGGUGGGGUAAUGGCCUACCAAGGCGACGACGGGUAGCCGACCUGAGAGGGUGACCGGCCACACUGGGACUGAGACACGGCCCAGACUCCUACGGGAGGCAGCAGUGGGGAAUAUUGCACAAUGGGCGAAAGCCUGAUGCAGCGACGCCGCGUGAGGGAUGACGGCCUUCGGGUUGUAAACCUCUUUCAGCAGGGACGAAGCGCAAGUGACGGUACCUGCAGAAGAAGCACCGGCUAACUACGUGCCAGCAGCCGCGGUAAUACGUAGGGUGCAAGCGUUGUCCGGAAUUACUGGGCGUAAAGAGUUCGUAGGCGGUUUGUCGCGUCGUUUGUGAAAACCAGCAGCUCAACUGCUGGCUUGCAGGCGAUACGGGCAGACUUGAGUACUGCAGGGGAGACUGGAAUUCCUGGUGUAGCGGUGAAAUGCGCAGAUAUCAGGAGGAACACCGGUGGCGAAGGCGGGUCUCUGGGCAGUAACUGACGCUGAGGAACGAAAGCGUGGGUAGCGAACAGGAUUAGAUACCCUGGUAGUCCACGCCGUAAACGGUGGGCGCUAGGUGUGGGUUCCUUCCACGGAAUCCGUGCCGUAGCUAACGCAUUAAGCGCCC
rnacentral:rRNA from 1 species